rnacentral:rRNA from 1 species
GACGAAGGGGGCUAGCGUUGUUCGGAAUUACUGGGCGCAAAGCGCGUGUAGGCGGUUGUCCAAGUUGGAUGUGAAAGCCUUGAGCUCAACUCAAGAAAUGCAUUCAGGACUGGAUGACUAGAGGACCGGAGAGGAUAGUGGAAUUCCCAGUGUAGUGGUGAAAUACGUAGAGAUUGGGAAGAACACCAGUGGCGAAGGCGGCUAUCUGGACGGUUUCUGACGCUAAGACGCGAAAGCGUGGGGAGCAAACAGG